CAGGGAGAGGGUGAUCUUCAGAUACUGCUUGAAGGUUACGUUGUAGAUUGCAUUAAUCCGACCAAACACUUCGGCCACAGCCAAUCCUAUAAGGAAUCCUGACCUGAAAUAACCCCAAAGAUGACCUGAUGUGGGAAGUGAGCAGCCAGAAACACUCUGGAUGCACAGACACAGACUUGAAUCAGCCAGAACACUGUCCAAAGCAGUACAUGGAGACACCUGGAAAAUGAGAAGGGCUGCUUUUUUUGGAAUCCAAUUGUCAGGAAUGCUGUGACCAUCACAUACCAGACACCAGAUGAACCCAUUGCAUGACCAGAUGGACUUCCUGUCAAACACAUCAUACAAAGGCUCAAUUAUAAAAUGGUGUUUUCCAUUGUUAAUCAUUUAAAUAAUACUUUCUAAUGCUUUUUAACACGUCCCUUCCUCCUCCUGCACUAUCCAUCCAGUGUCCCCCAAGGAUCUAUCCUUGGUCCCCUCCUAUCCGUCCCUUCAUGCGAAAGCACAGUGUUGGUUUACACAUCUACACUGACGACACCCAGCUCUACCUCCGCCUCCUCUCAACCCCUCCAUUGUCCCCAAAUUGUCAGACUCCUCAUCCAACAUCCAGUACUGGAUGAACAGUAACUUCUUCCAAUUAAAUAUUGGGAAGACUGAAGCCAUUGUCUUUGCUCCCUGCUUCAAACUCCAUUCCCUAGUUCCUAACAUCACCCCUUUUCCAUGCAGAUGCCUGAGACUAAACCAGACUGCUUGCAACCCUGGUAUCAUAUUUGACCUCAAGAUGAUUUCCGGCCUCAAAUCUGUACAAUGACUAAGACUGCCUAUUUCCAUGAUCGUAACAUCAGCGACUUCACCCCGCCUCAGCUUAUCUGCUGCUGAAACCCUCAGUCAUUUCCUUGCUACCUCCAGACUUGACCUAUUCCAGCACACUAAGUUGUAAUCCCACGUUGGCCCUCCAUAAACUUAAGGUAAUUCAAAACUCUCCUGCCCGUAUCCUUAUUUGCACCAAAUCUUGUUCAUCUGUCACCCCUGAACUUGCUAGGGUUGCACUGGCUCCCUAUCAAGUGACACCUAGAAUUAAAAAUUCUCAUCCUUGUUUUCAAAACCCUCCAUAACUUCACCCCUCUAUCAUUGUAAUCUCCUCCAGCCCCACAAUCCAUUGAAGUAUCUGUGCUCAUCUAAUUUUGGCCACUUGUGCACCCCUGACUUUAAUCGCUCCACCAUUGGUGUUGGCCUUGCCUUCAGCUGCCUAGGUCGUAAACUCUGGAAUUCCCUCCCUAAACCUCUUCACUUCUUUCCCUCCAUUUCUUCAUUUAAGAUCCUCCUUAAAAUCUACCUCCUUGACCAAGCUUUUAGUCAUCUGCCCUUAUAUUGCCUCAUGUGGCUCAAAUUUUGCUUAAUAAUGCUCCUGUGAAGCACCUUGGGAGUUUUUAAUCAUGUUAAAGGUGCUAUAUAAAUACAAGUUGUUGUAAAAGGUAAAGGCAAAAGGAACAUAUCCUGGAAUUGCGCCUUUUUUGAAUUAAACAAAAGCACAGGGGGCAAUUAUUUCCUGAUGCAUUCUCCAUGGCAACAGCUCGAUCAGAAUCAACUUGCCAAAACCCUUAUUUCUCAUUCAGUAUAUAUUGUUGCUCCCUUUGAAAUUUGUCAACCUUGCGUCUGUCCUGAUGAGUGUAAAAUGAAAAGUUUUGACAGGAUGCCUCUUUGCUCCACAAUUUUACUUUAGUUGCUAAUAUUGAUAUACGAUCUUUGAUUUACUUCGAAUGCAGAAUGCAAUGUAGUAUUGGAGAAGGAAAUUAGACAGCGAAAAGACGUCAAAAAUAAAAAUGAUCACGAUUUAAAA